UACAGAGGGGGCAAGCGUUGUUCGGAAUUACUGGGCGUAAAGGGCGCGUAGGCGGCCUUCUAAGUCGAACGUGAAAUCCCCGGGCUCAACCCGGGAACUGCGUCCGAUACUGGAAGGCUUGAAUCCGGGAGAGGGAUGCGGAAUUCCAGGUGUAGCGGUGAAAUGCGUAGAUAUCAGGAGGAACACCGGUGGCGAGGGCGGUUCUCUGGGCAUGUCCUGACGCUGAGGAGCGAAAGUGUGGGGAGCGAACAGG
rnacentral:rRNA from 1 species